UGACAGACAGCAGGUGGAUGAGUGAAUCCAUCAUCUCCUUCUCCUUCCUUAAGACAAGUUUUACUGACGAUAGAUUCUGAAUGCUUUCCUGAAACAGCAAGCAGAGAGAAAAAUCUGCCUCGAGAGAGUCCCCUUUAUACACAUCUAAAACUGAAGUUAGAAGUCCCAUAGAUCUAAUUCUCAUCGACCUAAGAAUUUAACUGCCUGUUCCGUAUAUUUCCUACAGAAUAGAUGCACCAGUUGAAAAAUGUCAAAGGACAUAAAAAUAUGUCCAGUGUGCUGUGUAUAAUCACAUCCCCAAAGGCCUCUUCAUUUCAUCAAGAGGCCCGUCGUGACCGCCUCAGUCAGCUCACAUGAGGUGCGGUGGCGUUCUGUGAUCCAAGCUGUGCUCAGCCCACCAGGAAGAGUGUGGAAUAAAUCGACGUAUUAUUGCCUCCAGAGGGAGAAAUGUGCUGAUCUGUGGUGCUUGUUGGAAAGUCAUCGCUAACGUUUACAUGAAGGAUGCUGACCGCCAGCUCGCGUUCAGCUUCAGGGUGAGAGGCUAGAGCUUGGACUUCCACCCUCGGAGCGGACUCAGUGCUGGCCUCCCACGAUCUCCGAGAACACUCAUUUACGAUUUCUUCAUUUUUGCAUGCCAGUAAACUCUGUUAAAACCUCAGUGGAACAAGUUGACAGCAAGUGGCACACAUUUAAGAACUCUGCGAUCUCUGCUUCAGGCCAGUGGGCGCCAGACUCCCCGGCAGGAGGCCAGGGGCAGAGCACUGGGGUGCAGCCGCUGCGCACAGAGGGGCACGACUAUCGCGUGGUGCCGUCAGGAGUCUGAGAGCCGCACCCUGGCGCCCGCUGCCCACGGGGGGUGAACCUUACCCGGACCGCUCGGUUCCUGAGUCGGGAGCCUGCUCCGCCUUCGCCCAGAUGGUUAUCCGAGUUGGGUGAGAUGGGGUGGGAUCAGCAUGGGACUCAGCGUCGCAGGAGGUGUGUCUUAAAUGAGACCUGUUUGCUGGGUACUCAGCAGAGGGCCCGUGACACCAGGGACUAGCCUCCGCAGCCAUUAUUAUUAUGCAAUCAGAUCUCCCAGAAACCAUGUGCAA